AGAAUAUUACUAUAAAAGACGUGAUGUGAAUUACCUGAACGUAUAAGAUGCUUGGACGAUGAUUUUUUUUUUACAAAUGAUGUCCUUGUCUUCUAAACGUGGCCUUGGAUACCUGACUACGCAGUAUGGGCUUUGCUUAUUGUUGAAGGCCGUACAGUUACCGAUGUUUGUUAAUUUCUGUGUCAUUUGGUCUCUUGUGAAGAGUUGUCUCAUUGGCAAUUAUACCACAUCUUUUUCUAUAUCGUAAAUUCAUAUCAGGAUCUUGUGAUAAAUCAUAUCCGAAAAUUUCUCUAUCGACCACUGUGACAUGAGGAUUGGUUUGUGGAUACGAUUUGUGGAUCAUCAAUUGUCAUGUUUGAUAUUUCAAACAAAAAUGACGACGUCCGUGAAUUUGUGAAGAGGUGACUUCAAAUUAAUCAUAAAAAAUCUUAUAUUCAGAUGCAACCUUAUAAACAGCAACCUUGUUUCGAGAAACUCAUCAUAUGAAACGUAAGCCCAAGGAUAUUCUACCAUCUAUAUUAUAUUCUUGUUCAAACUACUCUAAAUCUAAGAACAACAUGUCACAAACAUGUUCGAUAUAUAAAUAAAAUAAAGGACACAAAGAAAAUGUAUUCUUUGAAAAAGAUUUUUUAAAGUUACGAAUACAAAGGAGAAUUCAUCAAAACAGAAAUACUAAAUAUACAUAUAAUUUUUUAUAUGCUGAGAAAACAAGAUAUAGAAAUCAAAAGCAUUACGUCACACAUUCCUCCCAAUAUGACACAAAAGAAAGUGCGUGAGAGAAUUCAUUUGGUACACAUUAUCUCAAUAAAGAUAUCAUAACAUA